rnacentral:rRNA from 1 species
GCUUGCUCCCUCUGACGUUAGCGGCGGACGGGUGAGUAACACGUGGAUAACCUACCUAUAAGACUUGGGAUAACUUCGGGAAACCGGAGCUAAUACCGGAUAAUAUAUUGAACCGCAUGGUUCAAUAGUGAAAGACGGUUUUGCUGUCACUUAUAGAUGGAUCCGCGCCGCAUUAGCUAGUUGGUAAGGUAACGGCUUACCAAGGCAACGAUGCGUAGCCGACCUGAGAGGGUGAUCGGCCACACUGGAACUGAGACACGGUCCAGACUCCUACGGGAGGCAGCAGUAGGGAAUCUUCCGCAAUGGGCGAAAGCCUGACGGAGCAACGCCGCGUGAGUGAUGAAGGUCUUCGGAUCGUAAAACUCUGUUAUUAGGGAAGAACAAAUGUGUAAGUAACUAUGCACGUCUUGACGGUACCUAAUCAGAAAGCCACGGCUAACUACGUGCCAGCAGCCGCGGUAAUACGUAGGUGGCAAGCGUUAUCCGGAAUUAUUGGGCGUAAAGCGCGCGUAGGCGGUUUUUUAAGUCUGAUGUGAAAGCCCACGGCUCAACCGUGGAGGGUCAUUGGAAACUGGAAAACUUGAGUGCAGAAGAGGAAAGU